CCUUCUGUCCCUGCCGCUGCUGCAAAGCUCUUGGGGCCUGGGGAGUGACAGCUGGGCUGUCCUGCAGCAGACGGCGCUUGGCUGGGUCUGACAUGUCUCCCCGUGGCCCCCACACAGGUUGUGGCAUGGGGUUAGCAGGCGCACAGCAGCCCCAGCCCUGCUGCGCAUCCUUCACAUGCAAGAAACCAGGCAUGUUGGGGGUGAUAUGCUUUAUUGUCCCAAUGGCUUGGGUGGGAUGGACUCAGACAAGCUUUCCCAUGUGUUGCAUUCAUCUUUGGGCCCUUUAACUUCUUCUCCCGCUCCCCAGUUGGGUCUUCAGCUUCCCCCUCCCACAAGCAGAGUCUGCUAGGUCACAGCUGCACUUGAGGAGGAUCAGCCCUGUGAACCUGGUCGUAGCCAGGCCUUGGCCUUGUAGCGGUGUCCUCUGCAGCCAGAGAUGUCCAGGGAGAUAUAGGUCCCCCCGACUCCCAGCCCUCUUGCAGUGUCUGGAGGCAGCUGUCCCCAACCAGCACAGCAUGGCCUGGGCCCUGUUGCAGCUCAGCUAAGAGGUGGGCUGCACCAGCCAAG